rnacentral:rRNA from 1 species
CACGUAGGGACCAAGCGUUGUCCGGAUUCAUUGGGCGUAAAGCGUCCGCAGGUGGCUAUGUAAGUCUGCUGUUAAAGAGUGAGGCUCAACCUCAUAAGAGCAGUGGAAACUACAUGGCUAGAGUGCGUUCGGGGCAGAGGGAAUUCCUGGUGUAGCGGUGAAAUGCGUAGAGAUCAGGAAGAACACCGGUGGCGAAAGCGCUCUGCUAGGCCGCAACUGACACUCAUGGACGAAAGCUAGGGGAGCGAAUGGG